GAUAAACGCUGGCGGCGCACAUAAGACAUGCAAGUUGAACGGACUUAAUCGAAAUAUUUCUAUUUUGAAGCGGUUAGUGGCGGACUGGUGAGUAACGCGUAAGGAACCUGCCUAUUAGAGGGGAAUAACAGCGAGAAAUCAUUGCUAAUACCGCAUAUGCCAUAGAUAUCACAUGAUAACAGUGGGAAAGGAGCAAUCCGCUAAUAGAUGGCCUUGCGUCUGAUUAGAUAGUUGGUGGGGUAACGGCCUACCAAGUCGACGAUCAGUAGCCGGACUGAGAGGUUGAACGGCCACAUUGGGACUGAGAUACGGCCCAGACUCCUACGGGAGGCAGCAGUCGGGAAUAUUGCGCAAUGGAGGAAACUCUGACGCAGUGACGCCGCGUAUAGGAAGAAGGUUUUCGGAUUGUAAACUAUUGUCGUUAGGGAAGAGAAAGGACAGUACCUAAGGAGGAAGCUCCGGCUAACUACGUG
rnacentral:rRNA from 1 species